AGUUCCCGGCCCCGCGCCCCUUUAUUUCCCAAGACUGUAUUUGUCGACCAACAUCGUACUACUAGCACUGUUGUCUCUUCCAUUGAAAAUAUCAUCAAGCAGGUGAUCUGCAGUGCGCCUCUAGCAUGGAGAAGGCAGAUGAUCCAUGCUCCCCGUUCAAGAUUCUGAUCGCUUGUCCAUCUGGUCUUCCUCCAUCACAGGUUUCUGUAGCGUUUGGCGAGAGGUACGAUAGGAUUCCGCAUCUCGAUUCUAGCUUGGAGGAUUCCAUUUCCGAGAUUUGGAACCAACGGCUUCAUAAAAACUCAUCCUUAUUCAAUGGGAGAAAGUUCAGAUAUGGAGGAUUAACAUUGCAUAGUGAAGGAGGAAGUUCAAAUGAAGAUUCCCAUGUAUGCCUCAACUUAGGUUUGACAGAUUAUAGGACCUUUGUGGGAACAAACUUAAGCCCAUUGUGGGAAAAAUUCCUUGUUCCAGCAGAAGAUGACUGUAUUCGAUGUCGGCACACCUCAAGUCCUCUGGGUAAUGGUGCUAUUGUGGAGACAUCAGAUGGGAAAAUAGUUUUGUUGCAAAGAAGUAAUAAUGUAGGUGAAUUUCCAGGUCACUUUGUAUUUCCAGGAGGUCAUCCUGAGCCUCAAGAGCUUGGGAUAGAAUCUCAUGGCCAUGUGAAGGGUUUUGAAGAUUCCAAUACCAUUAACGGAAAGGUUUCACAGGAGAUGUUUGACAGCAUUAUUCGUGAAGUUGUGGAAGAAAUUGGUGUACCGCCAGAAUCCCUUAGAAACCCAGUUUUUAUUGGUAUAUCCCGCAGAGAACUAAAUGUUAGACCAGCAGCUUUUUUCUUCAUGAAGUGCAGUCUGGAGUCUGUGGAAAUUCAAGAUUUGUAUACCAGUGCACAAGAUGGCUACGAGUCCACUCAACUUUAUACAGUUCCAUUGAUUGAUAUAGAGAACAUGACGUCCAGAAUGCCAGGCUGCCAUCAUGGUGGAUUUUUUCUCUACAAGUUGAUGUUACAAGCUGCCAUGGGCGAUAAGUUCAUUACUGAUCAUUAGAGUUCUCAGCCUUUUCACAUGGAUUGAGGAAUUUAUCCAACAAUAGAUUCGAGAACAUGUAUUUGCAAUUAAAGCCAAAUUUCUGGCAACCAGGGAUCUUUUUUCAGAAGCUUCAAUGAGUAGCCAUCCAGAUUUACUAUGACAUAAGUUACAUACUAGAAAAGAUUCCACUCAGACCUAUCUCGUCAAAGUUUACAUUAGUCAAAUAAAUUAGCUUUCCCUAAAUAGUAUUACAAGCAAAUGCUCUAUGAUAGAUUAUGUGUUUAAUAAGGGCAGAUUCAAUCAUUAACUAAUGUUGGGCUCUACCCCAAUAGCGACAAUAGAGAUGACUUUCAAGUUACUCUAGUUCCUUUUCAUAUGAUCUUCUUAUACAAUCAAAAGACGCCUUGGGAUCCAAAGCAAGGCAAUAAAGAUAAAACCAAGUACGAAG